GCCCGAGGUGGAUUUCUUUGGUCGAGCUCUGGCCCCCAAACCUCCGAGACCCCCACCCACCUCAGAGACAGGUGAGAAGUGUCCGAGUACUUGUAUGGGAAAGGCAGUGGGCGACAGUGACGUCUGGUUCCGGUUCAACGAGGGCAUGUCCAACGCCGUCAGACGAAAUGUCUACAUCAGAGAACUACUUUAACACACACACUAACAAACACACACACAUUACUGCCUGUAUUUUAUAUGUAAGGGUCUGAAUAAAUCCAAAAUCCAGCUGUUAAAUUCCAAACAGUCUUUAUUUUGAUUGACAGUGUAAAGAGCCAAUAAAAACGAGUUGUUGAACAUUUCUCAGCAUUCCAUGAAAACAAAACUCUAGAAAGCUACUCAGUGCUACACACUCACACACACACAGUAGUCUUAACAUAAAUUAAAA